GACGAACGCUGGCGGCGUGCUUAACACAUGCAAGUCGAACGAUGAAGCUAGAGCUUGCUCUGGUGAAUUAGUGGCGAACGGGUGAGUAACACGUGAGUAACCUGCCCCGAACUCUGGGAUAACUGCUGGAAACGGUAGCUAAUACUGGAUACGACCUACGAAGGCAUCUUCUGUAGGUGGAAAGAAUUUCGGUUCGGGAUGGACUCGCGGCCUAUCAGCUUGUUGGUGAGGUAAUGGCUCACCAAGGCGACGACGGGUAGCCGGCCUGAGAGGGGAACCGGCCACACUGGGACUGAGACACGGCCCAGACUCCGACGGGAGGCAGCAGUGGGGAAUAUUGCACAAUGGGCGCAAGCCUGAUGCAGCAACGCCGCGUGAGGGAUGACGGCCUUCGGGUUGUAAACCUCUUUUAGCAGGGAAGAAGCGAAAGUGACGGUACCUGCAGAAAAAGCACCGGCUAACUACGUGCCAGCAGCCGCCGUAA
rnacentral:rRNA from 1 species